GUUUGAAAUGUUGCCUAACAAUGGUUUUCUCUCUUUAACUCACCAUUCUGCACCAUCUGUUAGAGAGUGCCUAUUUUGAACACAGUGUCUCAUGCACCCUAUCAUUCUUAUAGCUCCUGGAGGAGCCAGGCUGUUUGGAGAAGGAAUCGUGGCUUUGGGAAAAGGAAGAGGAAGAAAAGCUGGACAUUGGUCUUUUCCUUCCUUCAGACUCCUGGGGCUGGACUUCUCAGCAUCCAUAAUCAUUGGCCGUGUGUAGAAAGAUGAAAGACAUUCUUUGUUUGUGGUGUGGGCCCUGUUUAUAUCCUACGAAAGACAGGACUGCACAUCAGGCCAUUUGAAAACUUCUGGAUUACUAAGGGAAUUUUCCAAUAUUCACAGUGUUUAAAGUAAAGAAAUUAAGUCUUGAUU